rnacentral:rRNA from 1 species
UCUGUGGGAUCAGUGGCGAACGGGUGAGUAACACGUGAGCAACCUGCCCCUGACUCUGGGAUAAGCGCUGGAAACGGCGUCUAAUACUGGAUAUGUGACGUGACCGCAUGGUCUGCGUCUGGAAAGAAUUUCGGUUGGGGAUGGGCUCGCGGCCUAUCAGCUUGUUGGUGAGGUAAUGGCUCACCAAGGCGUCGACGGGUAGCCGGCCUGAGAGGGUGACCGGCCACACUGGGACUGAGACACGGCCCAGACUCCUACGGGAGGCAGCAGUGGGGAAUAUUGCACAAUGGGCGCAAGCCUGAUGCAGCAACGCCGCGUGAGGGACGACGGCCUUCGGGUUGUAAACCUCUUUUAGCAGGGAAGAAGCGAAAGUGACGGUACCUGCAGAAAAAGCGCCGGCUAACUACGUGCCAGCAGCCGCGGUAAUACGUAGGGCGCAAGCGUUAUCCGGAAUUAUUGGGCGUAAAGAGCUCGUAGGCGGUUUGUCGCGUCUGCUGUGAAAUCCGGAGGCUCAACCUCCGGCCUGCAGUGGGUACGGGCAGACUAGAGUGCGGUAGGGGAGAUUGGAAUUCUGGUGUAGCGGUGGAAUGCGCAGAUAUCAGGA